GGGUUCAGAACGUCGUGAGACAGUUCGGUCCCUAUCCGGCGCGGGCGGAGGAUAUUUGAGAGGAGCUGCCCCUAGUACGAGAGGACCGGGGUGGACGGACCACUGGUGUAUCAGCUGUCGACCAACGGCAUAGCUGAGUAGCCAAGUCUGGACGGGAUAAACGCUGAAGGCAUCUAAGCGUGAAGCCCCCCUCAAGAUGAGAUAUCCCCUCCUUCAAGGAGAUAAGAUCCCUUAAAGACGAUAAGGUAGAUAGGUUCAAGGUGUAAGUGUGGUAACACAUUCAGCUGAUGAAUACUAAUAGAUCGAAGGUUUAUUCU
rnacentral:rRNA from 1 species